AAAUUGAAGAGUUUGAUCAUGGCUCAGAUUGAACGCUGGCGGCAGGCCUAACACAUGCAAGUCGAACGGUAACAGGAAACAGCUUGCUGUUUCGCUGACGAGUGGCGGACGGGUGAGUAAUGUCUGGGAAACUGCCUGAUGGAGGGGGAUAACUACUGGAAACGGUAGCUAAUACCGCAUAACGUCGCAAGACCAAAGAGGGGGACCUUCGGGCCUCUUGCCAUCGGAUGUGCCCAGAUGGGAUUAGCUAGUAGGUGGGGUAACGGCUC
rnacentral:rRNA from 1 species